rnacentral:rRNA from 1 species
UUUAUCGGUGAUGGAUGGGGAUGCGUCUGAUUAGCUUGUUUGGCGGGGUUAAACGGGCCCACCAAGGCAACGAUCAUAGGGGGUUCUGANAGGAAGGUCCCCCACAUUGGAACUGAGACACGGGUCCAAACUCCUACGGGAGGCAGCAGUGAGGAAUAUUGGUCAAUGGGCGAGAGCCUGAACCAGCCAAGUAGCGUGCAGGAUGACGGCCCUAUGGGUUGUAAACUGCUUUUAUAAGGGAAUAAAGUGAGCCUCGUGAGGCUUUUGCAUGUACCUUAUGAAUAAGGACCGGCUAAUUCCGUG